rnacentral:ncRNA from 1 species
UUGCAGCGGCUUGAUCAACAGACUGUUGUUAUUCAGCGUCACUUCACCGGUAGCAUGGGUAAUAUUGCCUUCAACCAAAGGGAUAUCCAGAUGUAAGCGCCCACUUACGCCCCCGCCUACCUGCAACUCAUCCAGCGCACUACCGACCGUGUCAUACAGUGGCGUGUCCAUAAAAUAGCGAUGCACAUCCGCGCCGCUGCCAGCCACCUGUGCAUCAACAAAUAGCCGCUCUUUUAAAUAAUCAGGAAUAUUGGCGCUGAUAUGAGUGCCGGUAACAUUGCCCAACAUCGCCCGAGGCGCAUUCAUCCACAGCCCCUCAUUGAGGAAGUUCAGAUCAAUAGCCAAAUGCUCCAGAGCAGGCCAGUCUGGCUGGAAUAGGAAAGUCGCAUCACGCAAUG